CAGACCCCUCCCCAGCUGUGGCUGCUCCUGGACUGGGCUCUGAUGUUCCCAGUGCAUCAUCUUGCUCUUCUCUGUGAGAGCAACUAAUAAGUUUCUUCUCGUUCCCAUCAGCAGUCGUGAAAUCCUCGGAGGCGUCUCCGCUGCCGCCCGUCCUGUGCUCUGCCUGCUCCUGAUGUCAGCCUCCUGCUUAGACAUCCUCUCCGUGAGACAUCCUCGUUAGAUAGCUUCCUCUCUGCCUUCAGUGCUGGUGAAAGCAGCUUCACAGACGCAGGCUCCGUCGCCUCCCCAGAGGAAUCGCAGCGCUGUUUUGUAAGCAAAGGUAAAACUCUUUGCCACGCAGCUACUGCGAAAGUUUUGACAAGAAAGCAGCCGCUUUCACAAUACAUGGGUGGUGCACGCUGAUCAGAGCUCAGUCCCGUUUCUCGGGGACAGGCGUAACCGCAGACCGGUGUCACUGCAGUGACCGAGCCGUGCUGCACCGCGGCUGACCCCGCCGGCACCCGCCUCGCUCGCCAGAGCCGCUUCCUCGGGAGAGCUGCAGCCGGG
rnacentral:lncRNA from 1 species